AUGGCGACCUCCCUCGGGCAGUACGAGCGCCACCUCAGGCUCCAGCGCCACAAGAUCAUCGGGAUUGAUAUCAAGUACAACAACGAGCCUGACGCGACACAGAAACCCGCCCUCAUCCAACUCUCUGUCGGCAAGACUCAGCCGGUUUUGCUCUUCCAACUGAGCGACGAUGAAAGGUGCACUGUCUUCGACAACUUCCUCGCCGACCCCAGGUACACGUUUGUUGGCUUCUCCAUCGGUGGUGACAAAACCAGGCUAGAGCGCGUCAAUCUGGAGGUCGCCAACUUCGUCGACAUCCAGAAGGAAUGGAGGGUGCCCAAGGCCACAAAGGAGUUGGACUACCUUGCAGAUGUCGCCGGCUUGCUCAUCGAUGACUACUACAACAACAUGAAGAAGAAGAUCACCGACGAUGAACACAGGCGCUGGGCCACCCUGCCUCUGACCAUGAGGCACAUCGAGUAUGUGGCAAAGGACGCCUACGCAGCGUACGAGAUAUGGAGCCGCAUCACCCUCACCUAG
rnacentral:rRNA from 1 species